rnacentral:rRNA from 1 species
AUGAAGUUUGUUGUCGCUUUCGGUGCAGGUAGAUUGUUAUCCCCUAUCUUCCACAGAAAAGUCGAGCGAAAUUUUGGUAGACUUCUUUUUCUGCGGGGAAUUAUGGUGGAUUUCUUUGACAUAUGGCAGGAAACACUUGCAAAGAAGUCGCUGCCUGGUCGAUUCAUCCAUGUAGAAUCAGAAUUUUCAGAGUAUGGCUUUUCAGAUCACCACUCUUUCCAGCACACCGCAGUACAGCACGCCACCUGCUUGCAGAAACUCAUGGCAGCAUCAAGUCCCUCUCCAUACAGCCGCCUUAUUCCUCCUACAUGUGUCGCCCUGCUCUUUGAUCUGCCCACUGAUGUCGACCUAACCACCUGCCUUCUCAUCCUACCUGAGCCAUCUUCUCUACCGAAUCACUGCCGCCCCAGCCACACCUCUAACCACCACCCCCAAUUCUGGUGCCAGCGACCCCCACACCACACCCGCGCUAGUUGCCUUCGACUCUCCUCCACUGGCGACAUCACGACAAACCGCGCCAUUGUUCUUGGCGAGCCCUCGCUGGGGACGCCACGACCUAGUCUUUAG